rnacentral:lncRNA from 1 species
UAUAAAGGGCCGCCUUGGGGCGCGAAAAGUUCGUGAGGUGUAGUCGCGGCAACCAGGAGGUGCACCCACCACUAGAAUUUGAACAUCCUAAGAACAGGUAUUUUUGUCUCUGCUUUGCUGAUGUAUCCUCAGCAACCGGAACUGCCUGACAUCUGAUCCUUUCUGUGAGACACCAGGCUGUUGAGGAAGAAUCUAUGGCAACAUUGUAUCUAUUAAUAUACAGCUUCUGUAUUUAUCAGGCCCAGUUCUGGUGAUGAUUUCACUUUUGACAGAAGCUGUCCCUCAAAAGCAAACAUGCAAUAGAAGAAACAGAUCUCAAUGCCAUCCAUCUGCAGUUGUGACAAGCAAAAAAGUCUCCAGACAUGGCCAAAUGUCCCCUGGGGGGCAAAAUCACCCCCAAUUGAGAACUACUGCUCUAAACUGUCUUGAUGGUCCUUUGGAAAGCCAUCCCUUGUUCGGCUUCAGUCCAAGGUUUUGAUGGCAAUGGUACUGAUCCUACUUCUGAGCUCCAGAGUUAAAUAUAAGACCUAGGCCUGACAAGAAUGUUCCAUCCUUUUGGCCACCAGACGACUCCGGGGUAUGGACAAAUGACAGAAGUCAGUAAUAAGAGAUGCCAUGUUGGGACUUAAGUGGAACUAUUAGAGAAGAAAGAUUCCCUUUGCACUGGGGUGGAGACAUGUAAGUCUAACAUGGCCAGAGGCUGCUCUGUACAAACAGGCAGAGGGCCUGCUUGAGCGAGAAGACCACACAGACAGCAAAUCCCAGAAACUGACGGCAAGAGAAACACAGACAGACCAAACCAGCCAAGUCCUGAUGUUCCAUCUUACAAAUUCAGCCAGGCCCAAUGCUCCUGAACUUCUCAAUUCCAUGAAUCAAACUUUUUUUUUUCCCCUUGAGCUUUAAGGCAUUUUGAAAUGGAUUUUUGUCAACUGCAAUAGAAAAGGGUUCUGAACAACAAAAGGGUUCUGGUGAUGAUAUUGCCAACUAUUUGGCCCAUAGCAGGCUUUCAACAAAUGUGAGUUCUCGUUCUCUUCCUUGGUCAAAGAAUGUGGGUCAAAUAGAAAGGACAGUGAUAGUACCUACCGUACAGAUCUGUUGUGAGAAUCACAUGAGUUGGUGCCACCCAAGUGCUUGGCACAGUGCCUGGCACUCAAAAGGACUCACUGAACAUUAGCACUAACACCACUGUACAGCGGGAGACUUGGAAGAGACAGAAUUCAGAGACCUUGAGUGUAGUUUUCCACUAUUUCAUGAACCUAUUAAGUUGUAGUAUCAACAACUUGGAGAAAACACACUCAAAAAUCAGAAUAACUGCAAAGGGCCAUUCCUUGGUUGUGGUAGAAAAUGCUGCCACAGUGAGCAGGUUUGAACCCCCCGGUGCCAGGCCUGCCUCCUGAAGAAAUGAUCCAGAAGGUUUUGAUCUGCCUCAAUGCUCUACUUAUGUCAAGUCUGUUUGCCAAUCAUCCAGUCUUACUGUGCCUCAAAAGGCAGAAGAAAAGCACUGUUGUUCUAGCUAAAAAACUGCAUUGCCAAAGGGAAACGCAUGUCUCCUCUGUAUUUACCAAUUUUCUAUGUGAGCUCCCCAAUGCUUUCUUCUUUCGCAUUAAUAAUAAUUUUUUAAAAGUUGGACAGAAAAAAGGUCCUUGUCCCCUCUAGGCUGUAUGCUUAGCCAACUCAUUCAUCCUAACACUAAUUUAAUUUUACUUUCCUUGCUCUAUAAGAAUUUUCUUUUUCACACUCAUUUUUUGUGCUACUGGGAGUAGGAAUUUGGUAAAAGCUCAAGUCCAGACUCUGUUGGAUGAAGUUUAAAGCUCUGGUUACUUUAAAUGAAGCUUUUGAUGAAAUAUAUGCAUACAUGUAUAAUAAACAUCAUAAAAAUAUUUCAGACAGGAAAUAUUAAGAUAUUAUUCAAUUCAUAUUUUCCAUUUGGACUCACUGAGAUUUUCAGAAGUAUAAACAGUUGUCAUUUUCUAAAGGGAAAAUACAUCUUGAAUGGAAGGAUUUUAAAGCUGUUUACUACAUGACACAGCCCUUCCCUAUAAGAAACCUGUAGUAAAUACUCAUGUUUUGGCUGGCUGGGUAUUGAUGCCUGUUUGGCCCCAUGGUCCUUCUUGGUCACUGUGAUCCAUUUAGGGGUGGGUAGAGGAUCCAAGGUGGGCCAGUCAGAAACAAUCUGGAGGGUUUUGCCAGAAUUGCUGGGUACAAAGUGUUUCUUUAUGCUGUGGCAGCUGUGGGACUUCUCUGCUCCCCUGUGGUGACAGUCUGAGACUAAAACCAAACAGUGCUGAGCAGAGCCAAGAGAUAGGCAUGCUGACCUUGUUAACCUCACUUGAUUAGUUAAACUCACACUAGGUGGCCUCCAGUUUACCAAUGGGCUUCAAACAUAUUUGCACAAUACUUUUUCCUGGAGAAGGGAUGACAUGAAGGUGAGUCUAG